rnacentral:rRNA from 1 species
GUCUAUGGCCACACCACCCGGACCACACCCGAUCUCAUCUGAUCUCAAAAGCUAAGCAGGGUUGACCCUGGUUAGUACUUGGAUGGGAGAAUUCCCUGUGAUAGGAGAUAUGACAGGGAAGGCAGGCAUAAAUAGAUG